AGUGUUGUAGUAUAAUUGGAAAUAUAUUUGCCUACCAAGCAAAGGUUGCUGGUUCGAACCCUACCUUCACUA
rnacentral:tRNA from 1 species